rnacentral:rRNA from 1 species
UGCCAGCAGCCGCGGUAAUACGUAGGGUGCAAGCGUUGUCCGGAAUUAUUGGGCGUAAAGAGCUCGUAGGCGGUUUGUCGCGUCUGCUGUGAAAUCCCGAGGCUCAACCUCGGGCCUGCAGUGGGUACGGGCAAACUAGAGUGUGGUAGGGGAGAUUGGAACUCCUGGUGUAGCGGUGGAAUGCGCAGAUAUCAGGAAGAACACCGAUGGCGAAGGCAGAUCUCUGGGCCAUUACUGACGCUGAGGAGCGAAAGCGUGGGGAGCGAACAGGAUUAGAUACCCUGGUAGUCC